rnacentral:lncRNA from 1 species
UAAAAAUUGGUGCAAGAUGAAGAUGCAAAAUGAAAUCCCUACAGGCGAAAUAAAAAAUCAAUGGUAAAAAUAAAUUAGGAAAUAACAAAUAUAUUCUUGACUUAAAUCGGUUCUAUUAUUCGUUAAAUUUGACGCUUAAAAUGAACGGCCAAGAUUACUCUUUGCUGACAGCAAACAACCCAUACUUCUUUGUUGAUAAUCCAAACUCGUUGGAGAGUCGAUACUAGUUUGCCUCAUGAUAAAUCUUUUCACAAAGAAAAUAUGCAUUUAGCAUAUGAAUCAAUGGUGCAACUAGUGUUAGCUUAGGAGGUUCCAAGUAGCAACCGUUCGAGCGUUGAUAGAAGAAGAGAUCUAGGAUCAAGACGGAAUCGU